GAGACGGACGCCGCCGUGGCGUGCGUGUGAGUGACUUCGUGCUUGCCAGCUUCGUUACAAGAUGCCGGUUUUGACAGCUAGGCCAGCCCAACCCCACCUGAACACAAGUGCUGAUGAUGUCAAAAGUGGAUGAAUUUUCUGGCUUUCUGGGAUGACCCAGCAAGGGGAAGAUGAGAGGCAAAGUCUGCAUAAAAUAGCAACAGGACGGAUGGGAAAACAGCAUCGUUCAGAGAACAUGAAGUGAUUCAUUCCACCUAAUACGGUGCGGCUGGCAAGGCACAGACCUGCUUCAAAAGCUAAGACAGAUGCAGGCAACACUCACCCAGGCUUCCCUGGCACCCUCGGCUACAGCAGGCAAGCUGCGGGUUUCAAACCAAAGGAGGUGCUGCAAGGAGGCAGGGGCUGCCACAGCAGCCACCCCAGGAGCUACUGCCCCUGUGUUUGCAGUGCCUAAAAUGGCCAGCAACGCCUGACAGAGCGUCAGGACAAUGGCACCAACGCCAUCAUGAAACAGAAGGUCGUGGCAGGAUACUGAAGGACACUUGGCUAUCGUGCAGCUGAACUCCAGUGAUGUGUUCCCAAGCCAGACAUCUUCUGGGGUCUGCUUGCCCGGCAUCAGCUGCUGCUGGGGGAUUGCUGCCUGCCCGGCAUCUCACCUGGGGGCUGUGCUGUGGGAUGUGACAGAGGCCUCUCAGCACAGGGAGCAGAAAACUCUGCUGGACUGGGCUACAAAGUCAUCCACUGCAAGUUCUGGCACUGUGCUUUCAGGCAAUGACCAAGGAAAGGAGCACGGCUGCAGCUUGGCACUUCAGCUCCCACCCUUGCAGCUGAGCAGGGUCUGAACUGAAAAUCCUGCCUGCGUCUCACGGAGGUGACCCCACAGGUUAACCAGCACAGCUGACUCUGCUCAAGGGGCUAUUGGGACCAUCCCACCAGAUCCAGUGGAUCUCCAAAGGAUGUGGACAAUCAGUUUGGAUGAUUCCAGCAAGAUCCAGUGACUCUGCGGAGGUCUCAAGUCCCAUCUGACACCUAAAGGCACCAGAGUGAAGCCUUUUGCCUGUGCUACUGCAGCUUGCAGCCAGGUUUUCUUCAUGUGUCUGAAGGUGCUCCUGAAAUAAACAUCCUCAUCUUGUUCAAAGCAUGCUGGCAGCUGACCAGGAGGAACGCAGAGAGCUCUGGGAAGGUGCCCAAGGUGGGAACAUCUUGGCACAGAGGGAGCUGUGGGCUGGCUGGAAGAAGAGCGUCCGUUCCCAAAGCAGGGAGGUGAGAACAGCAUCAUGAGGCACAGACCAAAGCAAUAGCUUAAUAAAGUGAAAAAAUUGAGCCCCAGUGAUAAA